rnacentral:rRNA from 1 species
UACGUAGGGGGCAAGCGUUAUCCGGAUUUACUGGGUGUAAAGGGAGCGUAGGCGGGAGGAUAAGUUGAAUGUGAAAUCUAUGGGCUCAACCCAUAGCUGCGUUCAAAACUGUUCUUCUUGAGUGAAGUAGAGGCAGGCGGAAUUCCUAGUGUAGCGGUGAAAUGCGUAGAUAUUAGGAGGAACACCAGUGGCGAAGGCGGCUUACUGGACGGAAACUGACGUUGAGGCUCGAAAGCGUGGGGAGCAAACAGG